CUCGAUAAAGCAGUCGCAUCGGUUUCUCUCACCCUGAAAAUACAGGAAGUAUUUUACCAAGCACCAGCCUCCCCUCUUCAUUGGAUGUAGACACCCCCCAGCUCUGUUCACGGUCAAACUGAACGCCGCUGUGGAACUGUGAGAUGACAUUGCUGCCGCUUUGUGGAAGAGAGUUCCCACCGUGUCUUGUUGUGAUUGGUAUCCGUUCUGCACAGCCUCCACCACCACAGCGUGGCACAGGCUGAAGCAGCUCCGCACACAGUCCCAAGAUGAAGCCGCCAAGCCUGAGUCUCCUCGACACCUUCAUCUCGCUCCUCACUCACCAGAAGCCCCUCUAGGAUGCGACAGGUCACGGGGGCGACCCUCAUCACCCAGCAAGAACACUGCGGAAUGCUGCUCAUCACCCCCCAGGCUCCUCCCGGCACGUCCUUCUCUGCCAGCUCUGUCAGUGCCGCUCAUCGCCAGUGUCGUACCCCGGGGUCAGCUUCCCCUCCUAAGACUACAAGACAAACAAAUGGUUGCCCUGUUGAGAUCGACUGCGCUAUUGAUCUAUUUUUAUAAGACUAUAAAACAGUAAUUUAAAAAGGUGAAGGAGGCAAAAAGGCCAUAAAAUGUUAAGUUUGUCAUAUUUUU
rnacentral:lncRNA from 1 species